rnacentral:misc_RNA from 1 species
AAAAGAUCUCUGGACGAGGAACAGGGUGCUAUCACCGCUGUAACACUGCAGUAUGUAGGCAUCUAGAGUAAGAAGGUGUAGCAACGGCAAUGGUCCUGUUUUCCUUGAGCUCCUACGUCAGCGCAGCACCCCGGCGAUGGAAGUGUGACGUGGUGGAAGGGGUUCAGACGGGCUCACGAGUGCCGGAGAUGGGGGCUAUCAUAGGGGCAUCUUUAAGCACUACUAACUUUUCAGCUAGAUCUCAAAUUGCCUUAAGGCGCAGUGGCGAGGAACAAUUUGAACCAGAAAGGCCCUCGAUGAGACCUCGCUGGAUGGAAAGACAGGUGCGCGCAGAACGCGGUGUGGGGAACUUAGCGCCUUGUGAGUGCAUGUCAGAGACUCACUUUCGUGAUCUAGGCCAGGGCUUUGACCCUCGUUUUAUUCGUGAUGUUUUAUGUAAAGGCAAAUGUUCAAACGAGCACGGGGUGUGCGUACCUCGAAACAGGACGGUCACUGUUUUGAAGAGACUCCCACAAACAUGGCAUCUUGAGUGUGAAAAUGGCUUUAGACCAGUUGGAUUAACUGGGGGUUGGGGGAAAACGAAAGUCAUGGUCACAACACAUUGUGACUGCGUACUGUGAUGUGUAUAUGCAAGGUGAGAUUCUCAGAUAUUUGCUGAUGGAGUCAUACCUGGGAAUAUUAUCUAAAUAUCCAAAAACAAAAUUGGAGCCUAGAAACAUAAUAUAUAUAGAUAUAGAUAUACGUGUCGUAAGCUUUCUUGAUUAGGAACAUUCAA